rnacentral:rRNA from 1 species
ACGAGCGCACCCUCGUUCGGUGUUGCUCGCCCUUUUGGGCAGGACUCGCCGGAGACCGCCAGCGACAAGUUGGAGGAAGGUGGGGACGACGUCAAGUCAUCAUGGCCUUUAUGUCCAGGGCUACACACGUGCUACAAUGGGCGGUACAACGGGUUGCCAAACCGCGAGGUGGAGCUAAUCCCUAAAAACCGUCCUCAGUUCGGAUCGCAGGCUGCAACUCGCCUGCGUGAAGGUGGAAUCGCUAGUAAUGGCGCAUCAGAACAGCGCCGUGAAUACGUUCCCGGGCCUUGUACACACCGCCCGUCACAUCACGAAAGUGGAUUGUACUAGAAGUCCGCUAGCUAACCUUCGGGAGGCAGCGGCCCAAGGUGUGAUUCAUGAUUGGGGUGAAGUCGUAACAAGGUAGCCGUAGGAGAACCUGCGGCUGGAUCA